rnacentral:lncRNA from 1 species
AUAACGGUUUUUAUUUUUUUUCUUACUUAAUGGAGAGAGAGAGCUGGCUCACGCAAAACAUACUUUUUAGAUAGAGAAAACGAGGAGAGAGAAACCGGAAAACCAGACCACAGACUCGAAAAAGCAAUCUAAACCCCCCAUUCUUCUCCUCCCCUCUCUUUAGCUUACUCUUUCCCUUCAAUCGGACCCUCCCGUUCCCGUUCCCAUUCCCAUUCUUCAACCUCCACAUAUCUGUAUAUAUGUUUGUUUGUUGUAAGAGUUCACAGUAUUGAUCGGAGACGGAAGGAGCGCGCCGGGAGGCAUAACCGG